rnacentral:misc_RNA from 1 species
CCGAGUUUACAGCUCCCAAACCCCUGUGAACAUACCUAUCGUUGCUUCGGCGGGAUCGCCCCGGCGCCAUCGCGGCCCGGACCCAGGCGCCCGCCGGAGGCCCCAAACUCUUGAAUUCAUAAAGUAACUUCUGAGUAAACAAGCAAAUAAAUUA